GUCUCCUUUAAAUUGGUCCAGAGAGGCCGGUAAGGAAUUAACUCAGCAGAAUUUCAUCACUUUCAAAGUGAAUGGAAAAUGCUUAAAGAAUUUAACUCCUUAUCAGUCAAGCUGGUAGGGAGUUUUUUUAA
rfam:Halanaerobium saccharolyticum subsp. saccharolyticum DSM 6643, type strain:DSM 6643, WGS project CATI01000000 data, contig: c12